UUGCUGUCAGCAAGCACUAAUUUUAGAAGGACAUUUUAAACUGUUUCUUUCAUUUUUCAACAGUGCCAGUAAUGCCUUUCUGUGUUAAACUGCAUAAUUACAAAGUCUAGACAUUGAAAUGCCUGAAUUCUGCUUUUUUUUUUUUUUUUUAAAGUCAAGAAAUUUAAUUAUUUAAAAGCUAAGGUCAAAAAAGACAGGAACUUCUGAAGAACAGCCAGGCCCAUCCAAACCUUCACUGCCCUCUCUCUCUCCAUCAACUGCAGGAGAGACUAGAAGAGCUGUCUGCACUAUGGACAUACCAACUCUAAUUGGAGUCCUGAAAGGGUCUCCACAAUGCCUCAGGAAUAUUUCAUACUCAGCAGUGGCAGUUCCAUCAUGACAUUUCCCGUCCCGACAAGCUGAAGAAAAGUAAAGAAUUUUGUCCACUGCAUUUUACUGUGUUCUGGCUGAAUUUAUACAAUUUUUAAUCUUUUACAGCAUUUGUCCCACAGUAUGAGUUAUGAUUGAUCAAAGACAAAAAUUUUUUUCAGAUUAUUAAUCUAAUUUACUUAAAAGCUGCAUAGAAGUUCUAACUCCAUUUCUUAAUCUUAACUGCAUUUAAAGAGAAAUUAAAGGCAUAACUAAAAUGUGCCAUCUAGAUUAUGACAGUAUCUAACAUAUAAAAUGUACUUCCUAAACCUAUAAAAAAUGCUUCUUAUCACAAAAUAUAUAGAUAUGAAUAUCUGUAUAUUUUAACAUAUAAAUAUCAAUACCUGUGAUAUGAAUAAAGAAAUGAAAAAAACAGAAAACAGUUUUGAACAGUAAAAAAGCAGAAGCCAGUUGCACAGACUCGAUUUGAUGUUUAGUCACAAGUUGCUUUCCCUUAUAUAUUUAUUUGGGGUUUGAAUUAAACACAUUAUUUCCACCUU